UACGUAGGGUGCGAGCGUUAAUCGGAAUUACUGGGCGUAAAGCGUGCGCAGGCGGUUUUGUAAGCCAGAUGUGAAAUCCCCGGGCUUAACCUGGGAAUGGCAUUUGGGACUGCAAGGCUUGAGUGCGGCAGAGGAGACUGGAAUUCCAGGUGUAGCGGUGAAAUGCGUAGAUAUCUGGAGGAACACCGGUGGCGAAGGCGGCGAGUCCGUGGACCGAGUACUGACGCUGAGGAGCGAAAGCCAGGGGAGCAAAGCGGGGAUUAA
rnacentral:rRNA from 1 species